GAGCACCUCUCUCAAAGGCAGGGAGACUCUCCUGCCUGGCCGUGCUGGCUAGGGAACAGGCACGGGCAGCCGGGCACUGGCAGCCUGCCCCCGUGGGGGGUGGGGAUGAGUCUGAAGUCUGAAUGAGGAAAUCCAGAGACAGUGGGUUUUGAACAAGCGUCAUGAUGGAGGCCAAGGAGGGGCAAGCAAUGGGGGAUCAAGGACCAAGAGCGCUUUGUGAGGUCCUUAUGUGUAGCCUCCCCCAGCCAGAAAUGGGCUGAUGCGAACCUUGCUGCCACUGAGAAUGAGACCACCUGGGGAGGAGCCUUCAGACCUAGAUGGCUCUAUUGUUCUGUCACCUGCUGCUGCUCUCCUCCAUGACACUGCUACCUGCUGAGAGGCCCACACUGCUACCUGCUGAGAGGUCCCUGAGAUAUUCCAGAGGCACAUCCUAUCCUGCAUGUCACCUACAGGCUGGCUCCAGACACCAAGAAAGAACUGGGGGGCGGGGGCGGGGUGUGGGGGACACCUUCCCCCUUAUAAGCACACUCUCUUAGUAAACUCGUGAGCCUUGAUCAGAGAAA
rnacentral:lncRNA from 1 species